rnacentral:misc_RNA from 1 species
UCAAGUCCCUCUUCAAGAGAUUGAGAACUUGUAGCAUUACACCCGUCGAGGAGGAGUUAGUUUUGCAACUGCAAUUCUGCUCUAUAGAUGGAUGUCCUUUUGCCGCAUUCUUCUUGCGAUACUCGAGGCAAAGCAGGAGAACGGGAAUAAGACCCCGGCGUUGUCUGCGCCAAGGAUGGUUGGUGUCGGAGUGCACCGUUGCUUUAUCUGGUACGGUGUAAUCCUCUUACUAGGUUUGAGAAUAUGCAUGACUCUUGGCAACGGAUAUCUAGGCUCUCGCGUCGAUGAAGAACGUAGCAAAAUGCGAUACUUGGUGUGAAUUGCAGAAUCCCGUGAAUCAUCGAGUCUUUGAAUGCAAGUUGCGCCUUAGACCAUCAGGUCAAGGGCACGUCUGCUUGGGCGUCACGCCUUGCGUCACUCCAAACAACUGCCCAACUUAAACCGCUAUGUGGGUACCGGUGUGUGCGGAUGUGGAUAUUGACCCUUCGUGCUUUCGAUGCGCGGCGGGUUUGAGUGAUGGCCGUUGCUAGGUUUUGCGUGCGGCGAAUGGUGGAUAUGUUAUGCGCAUGCAUAAAGCCUCCAGCUGCGUACCUGACUCCUUGCAAAGGCUURCGGGAAGUAAUACCCAUAACGAUGCUUGCACAUUUUGCAACAUCGGACC